CAGAGUCUAGUGAGGGGCGGGGGUCGGGGCGCUGCGGGGGCGCGCACUUCUCGGGAGUCUCCGAGCUGCGAUCGCGGACUACGAUUUUGAUCCGGGUGAGGGCUCUGCGAAUGGGCAAGCAAAACCCUCUGAGUCCGGGCCUCGUCGCUCGGUGCUGUGUGUUAAGGGCCUGCGCUGUGCUAGGACCGGGCGUGCCGCCGUGGGCAAAAGUGACGCUUUCCUGAAGCACAAAUUUCUGGGGGGGCGACCAAGCGGCAGCAGAUGCGUCCUGCGCCGGUAGCCACGCGGCCGGUGGAAGAGCAGAGACCAGCACGGGCCAUGCGGCGGGGCUGGGCUUGCUGCACCGCUCUGCGCUGCGGGGUGAUGGGGAGAGGCGCCUUCAUUGGGGGUGAAGGGCGGGGAGCUGCCCGGAGGAGGUCCUAGACCUGGGCAACAAAGCGAGAUUCCAUCUCAAAAAAAAAGUUUCAGGCCAGCCACAGUGGCUUACACCUGUAAUCACAGCACUUUGAGAGGCCGAGGCAGAUGGAUUGCUGAGGUCAGGAGUUCCAGACCAGCCUGGUCACCAUGGCAAAACCUCGUCUCUACUAAAAAUACGAAAAUUAGCUGGGCAUGGUGGUGAGCACCUGUAAUCCCAGCUGCACGGGAGGCUAAGGCAGAAGAAUCACUUGAAUUCAGGUGGAGGGUGCAGUGAGCCGAGAUUACACUACUGCAUUCCAGCCUGGGCAACAGUAAGACUUCCUCUCAAAAAAAAAAAAAAAAAAAAGGUUUUGAAGGGAGCAGAUCCACUUUAAAAGCACACACUAGUUCUUGAGUGAUGACGAAAUUGCACUGUGCCUUAUGCAGAGCCGACGCCUGGCAGUUUGCACAAGCAGGAGGUGGAGCUGCAGACUCCCUCUCCCUCCCAGCCUUGCCUCUGUAAGUGGGAAAGCCCUUGACAUUCACAAAAGACGGGCAGGGAACUGCUACACAAGAGCAGCUACACAAGAGGGUCCUUUGGUCCACACAAGAAACAAGCCAUAGUGAUGACAUAUUUUGAAGCUGGUAGAUGUUUUGUUUCCCUAGCUGGCUAUUGUUUUUUGUAUGGCUUGUCUUUCUCUUUUGAGUAUGUGUGAGAACAGGGUGGGUUAACAUUAGGAAAGAGCACGGAAGAGGAAGGAAGGAGGGAGGGAGGGAGGGGAGAAAGAAUAGGGAUGAGAAGCUCAGCUUGUAGAAUGGGCAGGUGAUGUUUGCAGUUAUUAAUAAUUUGAGAAGUAGAGAAGCCAAGCGGAAAUCCAGACUGGAAAAGAAGUGCUUACCAUUUGAAAAAAAAAAAAAAAAAAA
rnacentral:lncRNA from 1 species